rnacentral:lncRNA from 1 species
CAAGAAGUUCAUAACAAGCACAACCCUGAGAUAUAUCUAAAAGAAGAUCAGAAAGCUCUUAAAGCAAGGGUUUCAGAGAACCUAAAAAAAGUGAAAAAGACUUUGAAAAUUUACCGAUCUAGCCAGAAAAGCCAUGGAUCUGACUCAGACGGCCAUGGAUAGCCAAAAAAAGACCAGAUUUAGAAAUUGAGCAAGGAUCAGACCAGAUCUCUUCAAGAUCUGUCCAUGGAAUCACAAAAGUGGGCCACUCAGGGGCGUAGAAGAUUGGUGUACAUCUCAAACAAUCAUGGAAGUUCAUGAAUUGGGUGGGGAUUGAAAGGGAUUAGGAUGGAUUAGGGUGGCGGCAGCUAAGAUUUAGGUGAGGUUGCAGAGAGAGUUUGAGAGAAAAGGGAAUCAAGGGC